rnacentral:rRNA from 1 species
AACUCAUGUCUAGUAUAGCAUUAUACCGUGAAACUGCGAAUGGCUCAUUAAAUCAGUUAUCGUUUAUUUGAUAGUACCUUACCACUUGGAUAACCGUGGUAAUUCUAGAGCUAAUACAUGCUAAAAACCUCGACUUCGGAAGGGGUGUGUUUAUUAGAUAAAAAACCAAUGCCCUUCGGGGCUCUUUGGUGAUUCAUGAUAACCUAACGGAUCGCAUGGCCUUGCGCUGGCGACGGUUCAUUCAAAAUUUCUGCCCUAUCAACUUUCGAUGGUAAGGUAUUGGCUUACCAUGGUUUCAACGGGUAACGGGGAAUUAGGGUUCGAUUCCGGAGAGGGAGCCUGAGAAACGGCUACCACAUCCAAGGAAGGCAGCAGGCGCGCAAAUUACCCAAUCCCGACACGGGGAGGUAGUGACAAUAAAUACUGAUACAGGGCUCUUUUGGGUCUUGUAAUUGGAAUGAGUACAAUUUAAACCCCUUAACGAGGAACAAUUGGAGGGCAAGUCUGGUGCCAGCAGCCGCGGUAAUUCCAGCUCCAAUAGCGUAUAUUAAAGUUGUUGCAGUUAAAAAGCUCGUAGUUGAAACUUGGGUCUGGCUAGCGGGUCCGCCUCACCGCGUGCACUUGUCCGGCUGGACCUUUCCUUCUGGAGAACCUCAUGCCCUUCACUGGGUGUGUUGGGGAACCAGGACUUUUACUUUGAAAAAAAUUAGAGUGUUCAAAGCAGGCCUUUGCUCGAAUACGUUAGCAUGGAAUAAUAGAAUAGGACGUGCGGUCCUAUUUUGUUGGUUUCUAGGAUCGCCGUAGUGAUUAAUAGGGAUAGUCGGGGGGCAUCAGUAUUCAAUUGUCAGAGGUGAAAUUCUUGGAAUUUAUUGAAGACUAACUACUGCGAAAGCAUUUGCCAAGGAUGUUUUCAUUAAUCAGUGAACGAAAGUUGGGGGAUCGAAGACGAUCAGAUACCGUCGUAGUCUCAACCGUAAACUAUGCCGACUAGGGAUCGGGCGAUGUUUCUAUCUUGACUCGCUCGGCACCUUACGAGAAAUCAAAGUUUUUGGGUUCUGGGGGAGUAUUCGAACG